GAUGAACGCUGGCGGUAUGCUUAACACAUGCAAGUCGAACGGACUCUUCGGAGUUAGUGGCGGACGGGUGAGUAACGCGUGAGAAUCUGGCUUUGGGUUCGGGACAACCACUGGAAACGGUGGCUAAUACCGGAUGUGCCGAGAGGUAAAAGAGAAAUUGCCUGAAGAUGAGCUCGCGUCUGAUUAGCUAUUUUGUGUGGUAAAGGAUCACCAAGGCAGCGAUCAGUAGCUGGUCUGAGAGGAUGACCAGCCACACUGGGACUGAGACACGGCCCAGACGCCUACGGGAGGCAGCAGUGGGGAAGUUGAAGCAAUGGGAGAAAGCCUGACGGAGAAAGACCGCGUGAGGGAAGAAGGCUCUUGGGUUGUAAAACUCUUUUCUUAGGGAAGAACAAAAUGACGGUACCUAAGGAAUCAGCAUCGGCUAACUCCGUG
rnacentral:rRNA from 1 species